GAGACACCCUUAUGGGGCAGGACUUGCUUCAGUGGGGCUUUGGUGCUCACUGAGUCUGCCCGCUGAGUGUGUCGCU
rfam:Myotis davidii contig50973, whole genome shotgun sequence.